rnacentral:rRNA from 1 species
AUUGAACGCUGGCGGCAGGCCUAACACAUGCAAGUCGAGCGGAUGAAGGGAGCUUGCUCCUGGAUUCAGCGGCGGACGGGUGAGUAAUGCCUAGGAAUCUGCCUGGUAGUGGGGGAUAACGUCCGGAAACGGGCGCUAAUACCGCAUACGUCCUGAGGGAGAAAGUGGGGGACCUUCGGCCCCCACGCUAUAAGAUGACCCUAGUGCGGAUUGGUUAGUUGGUGGGGUAAGGGCUACCCAGGGCAACGACCGUUAACUGGUUUGGGAGGAUGAUAAUCCACACUGGACUGGGACCCGGGCCCAGACCCCUACGGAAGGCAGCGGUGGGGAAUAUUGGACAAUGGGCGAAGGCCUGUCCAAGCCAGGCCGCGUGUGGGAAGAAGUCUUCCGGAUUGUAAAGCCCUUUAAGUUGGGAGAAAGGGCAGUAAUUUAAACCCUGGCUGUUUGGAGGUUCCCACCAGAUAAGGCACGGCUAACUUCGUG